UUUUUGUUUUGCCCAAACCAACCCUUCCAUCAUUCUUAGCAUCCAAGGAGACCUUGGACUGGAAGUUUUGGUAGCCAGCAAAACCACCUAGAUGCCCCUGGCAUUUUGUCAAACACCUUUGGUGCAUGACCUAAAUUGGCAUGGUUCCGUAAUUGCAUUGAGGACUUGCCUCCCUAGCCAAACAAGCAUGUACACUAGCCCUACACCACCCUCAGCAAUGAAUCUGUUAAGUUUCAUUUGCACCCAAG
rnacentral:lncRNA from 1 species